UGGGCUUGGCCUUCGCCUCCUUAUGAUGCUU
rnacentral:piRNA from 1 species